UGUAGUCAUAAGGAUUUUCAUUCUUAUCGACUACCUUGGAGCUUGUGGUAUAGGAACUAGAUUGUUAUAUUUGUUGAUUACUUUCUUGUCUCUCAAAAAACCCAUUCUUUGAGUUCUAUCUCUCGUUCAUUUGCUUUUAGGCAAAUCACAUUGUAUAAUUACAAUGAACUACCCAACAAAACAACAUUUGUUAGUUGGUUUAUAGAAGCGAUAUCCAAAAGUUAAUUUAAGGAUAUCCCACAAGAUUGUUAUCAAACAAAUAUUGCUUGUUAGCACACAACCCCAAAUCUUUAACAUGCUUAAGAUUUGUCUUUCUUUCCAACUACAUCUUAUGGAGUCAUGAAAAUAUUGGAAGAUCUUCUCAUUAACAAUCAUAUUGUUUUAGAAGUAUAUAUCCUAUAUAUGGGUAAUAGAUAACAUCUAACGAACUAAAACUUAUUCGAGUUCGUUCUUCUCCUAAUGGAGAAAUAUAUUAUCUUAUGAUGCUAUUUUCCUUGAUAUCUUUCAAGGAAACUCAU
rnacentral:lncRNA from 1 species